UGACCCUUCGGCGCCAGCAGUCCUCGUGGCCCUUUAGGUUUGGCCGCCAUACACUUGGUAUGGCCAACAACUUCCAAACACCCGACUUGCAUAACCCCUUUGGGCGUUUCAACGUGGCCAAGUU
rnacentral:lncRNA from 1 species